rnacentral:snoRNA from 1 species
AAGAUCAUACUUCACAGGAUCAUUUCUCAAGAUCUUCAUUUAACCACUUCAACACUGAAGUUUUUACCAGCCACGAUGAAGAGACGAAGUUCUCCUCCCUGAGCGUGAGGCAGGCGCGUGACCGUGUCACAACAUGACGCGGUUUACGCUCCAUCGAUGAUCGUUCAGACCGACCACUCUUGGUCGGUACGAGAGGAGAGCGUUCAGAGUAGC